rnacentral:rRNA from 1 species
GAUGAACGCUGGCGGCGUGCUUAACACAUGCAAGUCGAACGGAAAGGCCCAAGCUUGCUUGGGUACUCGAGUGGCGAACGGGUGAGUAACACGUGGGUGAUCUGCCCUGCACUUCGGGAUAAGCCUGGGAAACUGGGUCUAAUACCGGAUAGGACGAUGGUUUGGAUGCCAUUGUGGACAGUUUUUUCGGUGUGGGAUGAGCUCGCGGCCUAUCAGCUUGUUGGUGGGGUAAUGGCCUACCAAGGCGUCGACGGGUAGCCGGCCUGAGAGGGUGUACGGCCACAUUGGGACUGAGAUAAGGCCCAGACUCCUACGGGAGGCAGCAGUGGGGAAUAUUGCACAAUGGGCGCAAGCCUGAUGCAGCGACGCCGCGUGGGGGAUGACGGCCUUCGGGUUGUAAACUCCUUUCGCUAGGGACGAAGCGUUUUUGUGACGGUACCUGGAGAAGAAGCACCGGCUAACUACGUG